ensembl:lncRNA
CUGAGCUGCUGCACAUGCUCGAGUCUCCCGAGUCUCUGCGCUCCAAGGUUGAUGAAGCUGUUGCUGUGCUUAAGGCUCACCAGGCAAAAGAAGCUGCUCAGCAGAAAACGUGACCAACUCCAUCGGCGUGCCAAGCGUCUAAGCCGAGGGCCGACAUCUUUCAAACUCGCUUCACCCGAGGGGGGAUAAAAACCAUAUUAAACAUCGAAAAAUACACCGAAAACACUGCAAAAAGAUAGUGAGAUUUAAAGAAAAAACAAACAAAAAUAACAACGGAACGGAACUCUGCCAGGCCUGAGGAGGAUAAAGCCAGGCCUAGUCAAUUAUCUUUUUAAAAAAUCUGGAGGAAAAAAAAAAAGAGAAAAAUGGCAUAAAAAUGAAGAGAAAAAAAAAGGAAAAUUGGGGGUUUUAGAGAAAAAUUCCAUAAAAAGUAUAGAGCAGAGGGGGUGGAACCAAGACCCUCUAGCAUUCCUUAUUUUAUUCAUUUUAUUCCUCGCCUGCUGUGAGUUCGGUUCUGGGUACGAAGAGGAGAACCGCACGGGCGAACAAUGUGAACAAUUCUGCGGAGUUGAAAAUGUGCUUGCUGAAAUAAAG